UACGAAGGGGGCUAGCGUUGCUCGGAAUCACUGGGCGUAAAGCGUGCGCAGGCGGUUUGGUAAGACAGAUGUGAAAUCCCUGGGCUCAACCUAGGAAUUGCAUUUGUGACUGCCCGGCUAGAGUGUGUCAGAGGGGGUAGAAUUCCACGUGUAGCAGUGAAAUGCGUAGAGAUGUGGAGGAAUACCGAUGGCGAAGGCAGCCCCCUGGGAUAACACUGACGCUCAUGCACGAAAGCGUGGGGAGCAAACAGGAUU
rnacentral:rRNA from 1 species